rnacentral:rRNA from 1 species
AUGACAGUUCAUCUCCUUGCAAAACUAAACCCUGCUGCAACGACAUAUCACAACGAAGAACUCCAAAAAAACCUCCCACAUGUUUUUUCCCUUACAUCAUGUUAUUACUGCUGUCAACGAAGUGACGACCAACUGCCGAGCUGCCGCCUGAGAGUUGCUAGCUUGCUACUUGCCGCUCGAGGGACAGAGGAGGAGUUGAGACAGAGUUUGUGGGGAAAGGAGGGGCGCAACACUGCAGCAGCUGGCUGUUGGCUCGCCGCUGGAAUACAGCAGGCCGUGGGCUCGUCCACCGCCGGCUCCAAGUUGGAAAUUGGCGCCGCACGCUCGCCGAGGAGGCGGUACUACGGUAGCGCACCGCCUGGGACCAAACUGAGAUCAACGCCGGAAGAAAGAAGAUCAGGUCCGUCAGCAUCAUCCUCGCGCUCGCCCGUACUGGCAGACGACGCGUUGGUUCCCUUUCGCGCUGCCGUGGGGAGAAACAUCAAGUGA